rnacentral:rRNA from 1 species
GACGAACGCUGGCGGCGUGCUUAACAUAUGCAAGUCGAACGGAAAGGCCCUGCUUGCAGGGUGCUCGAGUGGCGAACGGGUGAGUAACACGUGGGUGAUCUGCCCCUUAUUUUGGGAUAAGCCUGGGAAACUGGGUCUAAUACUGGAUAGGACCAUGCUGUAGGUGGUGUGGUGGAAAGAUUAGUUUCGGUAAGGGAUGAGCUCGCGGCCUAUCAGCUUGUUGGUGGGGUAAUGGCCUACCAAGGCGUCGACGGGUAGCCGGCCUGAGAGGGUGGACGGCCACAUUGGGACUGAGAUACGGCCCAGACUCCUACGGGAGGCAGCAGUGGGGAAUAUUGCACAAUGGGCGCAAGCCUGAUGCAGCGACGCCGCGUGGGAGAUGACGGCCUUCGGGUUGUAAACUCCUUUCAGCCAUGACGAAGCCCUUGUGGUGACGGUAGUGGUAGAAGAAGCACCGGCUAACUACGUG